UACGGAGGGGGCAAGCGUUGUCCGGAAUCAUUGGGCGUAAAGCGCGUGUAGGCGGCUCGAUAAGUCUGCUGUGAAAGUUCAGGGCUCAACCCUGAAAUGCCGGUGGAAACUGUCGAGCUAGAGUCCGGAAGAGGCGAGUGGAAUUCCUGGUGUAGCGGUGAAAUGCGCAGAUAUCAGGAGGAACACCAAUGGCGAAGGCAGCUCGCUGGGACGGUACUGACGCUGAGACGCGAAAGCGUGGGGAGCAAACAGG
rnacentral:rRNA from 1 species